UUCUGUGUAUGAUUUCUUAUUCAGCUCAUCACUGUAUCGUACUUCCUCUCAGCCAACAUUCUCCAACUACACCAUCAACGCACUGUCAACGCCCGUUGCCAUUAAAUACAUAUGACAAUGUAUAUCUAUGUGGUCGCCAUCGUUAUCUUGUCAGGACAUUGUGGAGGAGUCUCUGUGACACAGCUCCAAUCUACUGUGACAGUGAAUGAAGGGGAGACUGUUUAUCUGCAGUGUAAUUAUACAGCUACAAACAACGAUAAUCCAUAUCUGUUCUGGUACAGACACUACCCCAACAAAGCUCCAGAAUAUAUCCUUAAUACGUACAUCAGGAAUAACAAGCAGCAACGUGCAGACUUUGCAAAAGAACGUUUCUCAACGAAUGUGUCUCAAGCGGAGACAACCGUUCACAUGAAUAUAUUGCAAGUGAGAGUUACAGACUCCGCGGUGUAUUACUGUGCACUGAGCCCCACAGAGGCACAGAUCAGCGGUUCCUCCGUACAAAAACUGUCAGGUGGAGUCCUGUAG